ACACUGCCGAUUUUGCAGGUUAUCAAAUACUUGUUCUCUCCACUGUACAUCUAUAUUCCAUAAAUAUCUAUGACAUGGAAUGUUGGUGAUGUCUGCCAAAUUGUCAAAUUACCUGCCAGGUGACAUAGUAAUGAAUCACAAUCUUACCAAUCAACCAAUCAAGUUUGGAAGCAUAUAUAUGGAGCUUGCCCACAGCACAAUCACUACCAUUUCUUAACAUGGAGGAACAUCACUAUCCCUGAACAGCAGCUACAUGCUGGUGGAAGAGCAAUAAGAAGAGAAUAAUGGAGCUGGAAGGACAUGAAAUGACCCACAUUCUUGUUUUUGUGAACGAGUCGGGGUUCAAUCUGGCCAAAGGCAGGACACGUGGCCGCAAUCUUAUUGGACACCGAGCCACAAUUGGCACACCAGGCCAAAGUGGGGGCAAUUUUACAAUGCGUGCUGCCAUUUCUGAGAAUGGCGUGAGCACACACAUAUUCCACACAUUGGGCCCUAUAACAUCCAACUUCUCCUGUCCUUCCUAAAUACACUUUACAGAGACCUAACACCAGAACACGAAAGAGGUUUAGUUAGACCAGAUUUGCCAAAUGAUGUAAUUGUGUGGGAUAAUGUCAGCUUCCACCGAACCAACAUUGUUAGGGAAUGGUUUGCUGCGCAUGAAAGGAUAACAAUGGAGUUCUUCCACCAUCCUCCCCAUUCCUGAAUCCAAUAGAAGAGGUUUAUUUCAGCACGGAGGUGGAAAGUAUAUGACUAUCGGGCACAAGAUCAGAUGUCUCUGUUAGAUGCCGUGAAUGAUGCAUGUGAGGACAUCACAUGUGAUCAAUGCAGGGGAUGGUUGCGCCACGCAAGGAGAUCUUUUUUAUUUCAUUUUGGUGGCAUUGGGCCAAUUUACAAAAAAUAACUCGAUUUUGAAGCAUGAAUUAAAUGUUUUGGGGUGAGUUACUACAUUUUGCAGACAUGCAAUAGAAUUGUGAUGUUCCAUAAAACAGUUGUGACAAUUGCACUUAGAGUUCACAAAAUGUUAAGACUGUUUAAAAAAAUGAGCCAAAGCGAUCGAGAAACUGUAAAAAGUACCAUUUAUAUUCAUUAAAC
rnacentral:lncRNA from 1 species